rnacentral:rRNA from 1 species
GACGAACGCUGGCGGCGUGCCUAACACAUGCAAGUUGAGUGACGAACCAGGGCUUGCCCUGGGGCAAAGCAGCGAACGGGUGAGUAACACGUGGGUAACCUACCCCGAUAACCGGGACAACCCGAGGAAACUCGGGCUAAUACCGGAUGUGCUCACUGGACUUCGGUUCAGUGCGUAAAGGAAGCUUCGGCCUCCGUAUCGGGAGGGGCCCGCGGCCCAUUAGUUUGUUGGUGAGGUAACGGCUCACCAAGACCGCGAUGGGUAGCUGGUCUGAGAGGACGAUCAGCCACACUGGGACUGAGACACGGCCCAGACUCCUACGGGAGGCAGCAGUGGGGAAUCUUGCGCAAUGCGCGAAAGCGUGACGCAGCAACGCCGCGUGGGGGAAGAAGGCCUUCGGGUUGUAAACCCCUUUCAGGAGGGACGAAGGUUCGGCGGUGAAUAGCCGUCCGGACUGACGGUACCUCCACAAGAAGCCCCGGCUAACUACGUG